UCGCUCCCGUUUCKCAACCCAUCUUCACAUUGGACCGGUGGCGUUUCGCCUUCAMGGCGUCCCACCGAUCAGCCAUGCGUUUCUUGGUCACCGUCUAUACACUUUUUCAGUUGAAAAUACACAACUGGUAGCAUUGGAUCCCUUGGCAUGCCAUUCGAUGAAGACCGUAGCAAAUUGCGAUAAGUGGUGUGAUAUGCGAGUCCAAAACUUAUACGUGAACCAUCGAAUUGUUGAACGCAUCGCAUCGAGCUUUGCCCAAGCACGAUAUGCCCCAUUGAGCGUCAUUACGUCUUCGAGAGAGGAGCCUCUUCCGCUCUCGAGUUCGGGACUCUUGGUCUCACCGACCACGCUUCCUCAGAUGCAUCCGCGUCGCACGCACGUCGCGCUCCUUGUCGUGAACUUCAAGGCGCCGCGCUCGAGCUGGCACGCUUUCGCUCGGCCCUACACGGUCGCCGAACAGCACCGGCGGUGCCUUGGCACUCGCCCCUCCCGACAUGACCUCACGGGGGCAAGACGACCCGCUAGACUUAAGCAUAUUAAUCAGCGGAGGAAAAGAAACUAACAAGGA
rnacentral:rRNA from 1 species